ACAAAAGACUAAUCUAGAAAGGUAAAGGUCAAACGGGAUUAGGAAAACCCUCAUAUUGGAAAGUGUAGAGCGGGAGCUCCAGCUAGGAGUUAUGAUCUUUCCUUCUCUCCGCCACUUACUCUCAUAGAUCUUGUUCCUGAAGCAAUUGAGAUUCUCCAUUUGAAGUUGAAUGGCACGAAUGCUAGGCUUGCAAGUCCAAUCGAAUAUCGUCCACACCCACCAUUGAUUUGGGUUUUUCAGAUUUGCAAGUUCGGGAGGAUAAGCGUUAAGUAGUUAAGGAGACGACAAGGUGCACAGGGAGACAGACUUGAUCCAUAGCUACUUUCUCAGAGAUUUCAUAGCAGAGCUCCAUUUCAUUCGGAGCCGUAGAUUUUGGGUACUUAUUCUUUUGUGUAUAUAAUUAUGGGCAUAGCGGGGUCCUGUCCCGCUCAGGUAAUAUGUUAUACUCUUCUUAGAGGCUCGCAGUUACGUGUAUAUGGGUAGACAUGUCCGGCCUUGUCGGCCUAUAUUUUGUAUAUCUUUUGGUAGCCUUGCCGGCUUAUGUACAAUUGAUGUGGCAUAGAUGUCAAUGAUGAUUUAAAGAUGUUGUCGUCCAA